GACAGAGGCCUCAAGCGUUAGGCGGAAUCACUGGGCUUAAAGCGUGUGUAGGCGGAUCGUUAAGUGUCUUGUGAAAUCCCACGGCUCACCCGUGGAACUGCUGGGCAUACUGGCGAUCUUGGGCCAACUAGGGGCAACUGGAACAAGCGGUGGAGCGGUGAAAUGCGUAGAUAUCGCUUGGAACGCCAAAGGUGAAAACAGGUUGCUAGGGUUGUGCCGACGCUGAGACACGAAAGCCAGGGGAGCAAACGGG
rnacentral:rRNA from 1 species